CUCCGGUUGAUCCUGCCGGACCCGACUGCUAUCAGAGUGAGAUUAAGCCAUGCGAGUUAACGUAGCAAUACGUGGCGCACGGCUCAGUAACACGUAGUCAACAUGCCCAGAGGACGUGGAUAACCUCGGGAAACUGAGUCUAAACCGCGAUAAGUGAGGAUUUCUGGAAUGGUUCCUGACUAAAAUCUAUAUGGCCUCUGGAUUGGACUGCGGCCGAUCAGGCUGUUGGUGAGGUAAUGGCCCACCAAACCUGUAACCGGUACGGGCUCUGAGAGGAGGAGCCCGGAGAUGGGCACUGAGACAAGGGCCCAGGCCCUAUGGGGCGCAGCAGGCGCGAAACCUCUGCAAUAGGCGAAAGCCUGACAGGGUUACUCUGAGUGACUUUCGCUAAGAAAGUCUUUUGGUACCUCUAAAAAGGGUGCAGAAUAAGGGGUGGGCAAGUCUGGUGUCAGCCGCCGCGGUAAUACCAGCACCCCGAGUGGUCGGGACGAUUAUUGGGCCUAAAGCAUCCGUAGCCGGUUCUGCAAGUCCCCCGUUAAAUCCAGCUGCUCAACAGAUGGGCCGCGGAGGAUACUACAGAGCUAGGAGGCAGGAGAGGCAAGCGGUACUCAGUGGGUAGGGGUAAAAUCCGUUGAUCCAUUGAAGACCACCAGUGGCGAAGGCGGCUUGCCAGAACGCGCUCGACGGUGAGGGAUGAAAGCUGGGGGAGCAAACCGGAUUAGAUACCCGGGUAGUCCCAGCUGUAAACGAUGCAGACUCGGUGAUGAGUUGGCUUAUUGCUAACUCAGUGCCGCAGGGAAGCCGUUAAGUUUGCCGCCUGGGGAGUACGGUCGCAAGACUGAAACUUAAAGGAUUGGCGGGGGAGCA
rnacentral:rRNA from 1 species